GGAUCGGAUAAGACAAAGAGCGACGAGAGGGAGAGGGAAAUAGAAGUAAAAAUAGAAGUAAAACGCGAAGGAAAUUCGCUACACGUGUUCGUCGUUCGUUUUCCAUGGAACGCAAAGGAAAGAAGUAACAAAAGAGCGGAGGUUCAGCGAAGAGGAGAUACCGUGAGCCAAUCGAGCCAAUCGAGAUAAAAUGGUGGCACGGUAAACGAAAGAAAGUGAUUAGACGCAUCGUGUGUGACAGUAUAUCGCUGUGUGCCUCGCACAAGUUCCGAUCACAUGGAUCACGUGGUAGUCAGUCCGUGCCCCUUCUCCUCCUGACCGCAAAGGUUCUAUCGGUGGGCGGUGGGGAUGUCAACUGUGACGGGGAGGGAUGUAGAAAAGGAGAAGUGGUAGAUACGAUUUCUAGGAUAGAAGAAGAGAAGAGGAUGAGAAAAACAGAGAAAAGUCAAAGAGGAUAUUACUUCGACAUUGAUGACAAUCAGGGCAAUGGACGCGUGAUGCCGCGUCUGACCGCAAGCUCGUUACGCCUGUCGGAAGUAUAAAUCAACCGCAAAGUUAUUCCACCAUGCUGUCGAGAACUCCCCGUAGGGCGCCUCUCGCUGGAAACUGCUACCACUUUCUUGUCCUCCACCUUGUUGAUAUCGUUCGCGCAGAAAAUGAUCAUCUUUCGCUUAAGAUAAAGUGAUAGGAUGACAAGGAUAUUUAUACCGACGUGCUCAUUCAUUUCGUCAGUCGGGAAUGUGACGGACCGCACCCGCGGUGAACUCUCAGCGUCAAUGAACCGUCACGAAUUUGCUGUAGCUGCCAAUCUACCGUGACUUAACGAGAUCGGCGCACCCGCGAGUCAACAUCUCUCCACCGGGAGAUCAUCGUGUUUUCGUUAGGAACGAGAUCGCCCUUUGUCGAUGUCUCGUAAGCCUAUCCAGCCUCCUCUUCCAGCUUCCAUCUCCCGCGCGACUCCAUCUUCCAGACGUCAUCGUUGCCGACAUCCCGUUGUAGUCCGCGGAUGGACAGCGAUCGAAAUUAGGGUGAGUACCAUCGCGGUAGCGUGGACAUAUGGGAGCACCAUGUGGUCAUCACCGUAUCGUUCGUUCGGCCGACGAAAGCCAAAGCCAACCCCCGUGCGCGAACGGGGAGGAGCCGAUGGGGGAAUGUAGGAAACCGCAGAUUUGGCCGGACGGCUAAACGCUCGCCGCAAUUUGUAGCAAUUUGUUAAGUAGCCAGCCAGAACAUUACCUAUAUUACGCUUACUCCCCCUUGGACCGGACACCAAGAUAUACGGCGUACGUGCAGAUUUAUCGUUUCUGCGGAGAGAACGGAGGUUGCGAGAUUCUGGGGCGCCGCACCGCGCUUGUUUUAAGUUAUUGUGUCGCUUAACCUUUUCUGCAAUGCGAAAUAGUUGCAGCCGAUCAAUCCGUUUUAUUUACUCUCAAUUAAGCUCAAUUAAUUCGUUAUUGUAAAUAGCGCAUAUAAUUUUGCUGAAAGAUUUAAAAAUUUGAGUCAAACAUCUAAUAAGAUGAGUUAAACAUCUAGAUCUAAAAAUUAUUUUAAGCCAACAAAAUAAUUAU